rnacentral:lncRNA from 1 species
AGGAAAAAACAUGUCGUAUAGGGUUAACGUGAUUACAGCUCUACACGGGCAAUAUUUUGGGUUGUCUGGGCAGCGCGUCAAAGGUGCCUGAAGGAAAGAACCAUUGUCGGUGGCUUUAAUUUACUUGAGUGGUUGGUUUUGGACCUUUUGGUUACUUAUUUUAUUUUAUCUGUGAAGAAUUUUUAAUUUCAAUUGUGUGGACAUCGCACUGUACACGAGGAAUCACAUUUUUUUAUUUGUUUUUUUUUUCUUUUUCGAUGAUAUGUUAAUUCAAUUGUUUUGAACUUUUGAUGCAAUGAUGACAAUACUUCUUAUACGCUUCUUAUAUGCCAACCAAAUCUUAUGUUUCCUUCAACUUUUACAAGUUUAUAGAACUGCUUUUUUUAAUUAUGAAUUAUUCUUCAUUUUACUUCCUAGGGUGAACUUUUAGAUUCGCUAACUAAUAAAAUUUCAUUAUUUCAAAUUCAAUAUCUUUAAAAAAAAAUUUUUUUUUGGGUUCACUCCCUAGGCGGAACCUAUAAGUUCACCAGCCACUUACAAAUUAACACCUCAUAUCUAGUUUUUUUAAAUAAAGGAAGGUAAAAAAAUAAGUAGAAAUAUAAUUAUUAACUAAAAAAAAAGGAAAACGAAAAAAAAGGAAACAAAAAAAACAUAAUACGACGAAAGCUUCUAACCUAACAGAGACGUAGAAGAAAAAAAAUGAGGAUCAAAGAAGAGUAGCAGAGAAGAAGCUACAAAGUCGUUAGCAUAAUUGACCAUAUAGUUGUUAGAUCUUUUUUAAUCACGUCAAAUUCUCAAAAAAAAACCAAAUAAUUUGGCAAAGAUGUUUUCAAUUUCAUCUCUAGGAUACGUCUGAUCCGUAGGUUACGUUUCUGUGGAAACAUUGCUUUUGCAGUUUUGCUUGUUAUUGUCGUUACAUGUAUCAGCAUGUUUUUUCUUAUCUUUAUUGUUUAGAUCUUGUAGUUAGGUUCAGUGUCAAAUUAAUCCAUUUAAGACUACUCUUUCUUCAAGCUUUAUCUUUUGAUUCUUUCAGCUGUUAGUGACUAUCGCCAAUCUCUUCAGUUUCAAUACCUCAAAAAUGAAAAAAGAAAUACACAACUAGAUGCCUGCUAUAACAACUUAGAUUGAUCGCAAUUUAUAUGAUUUUGAGCUGACAAUUUAAGAAACAAAAACUCUUAUAGGUCAUGAGAGGAGGGGGAACAGUGAAGAUUUCAAUCUAUAAUGUUGUUGUCGGAGAUGUUAUACCUCUUAGAAUAGGUGAACAGGUCCCUGGGGAUGGAGUGCUAAUUAGUGGCCAAUCUCUUGCCAUUGAUGAAUCUAGCAAGACCGGUGAAAGCCAGAUUGUGAGUUCAUCAUGAUUCUGCUUGUUCAAUUUUGUGCUUUAUCUUCUCCUUCCACUUGCUAACACUGUCUCUUGUUACAGGUCCACAAGGAUGAGAAAAGAUGCCACUUGACAUUGGUUACAAACCAAAGAGAAGUUGAGGACAGCUAUGUUGUAGUUGUUUAAGUUCAUGUGUAGUAGUUAGUGAGAAACUACUAUAAGUAUGUGUGGUGUUGUAAUAAAGAUACAUCCAAUUCUAAUAAGAAUAAGAGUUGGAGUAAGUAAAAAUGUAGAGAUGCAAAGUUAUCUCUCUUCUCUCUCUACAAUAACAAACCAAACAUGAGAGCGUAAAGAGAGUGUGUGGUAGGUUGUGUUAUGGUUGAAACACAAGCAAAACUGAGAGAGUAAAAACAAGACAAAGUGACCACAUGUAUCAUUCGUCAAAGCAGUAACAUCCCAUGGUGGACUUGUCCAAAAGAUCUUUAUUAAAAGAUACAAAGAACCAAUAAAAAAUAGGCGACACUAUGAACCAUCGCCAUAAUUCUUGUUGAAGUCCUUUGAUCGCCAUAAUUCUUGUCAAAGUCCUAGAAAACAAAAAAAAUAACUACUUAUUUUUAAAAUGACAUACAACUUAAUUAUAAAUAAAAUAUGAAAUGAAAAAUUUACCUGGAGUAAUUGCGAGAAAAAUGACCCACUAGGUAAUGUUGGAUUGGUGGCAUCAAUAUCUAACUGGGUACCAUGAAAAAGAGUUGGCUCCUGAAUCAUUUAUCAAUUUUUUUUAAAAUUGACAUAUAACUAAAUUAUAAAUAUUAAACAUAAUGAAACUUUUACCUGGGAUACUUGAGAGAAAAAUGGCUCAUUAUGCAGACCAGUGGUGGUAAGAGAUAAUUGCGUAUCGGAAGUAGGAGUUGAUUCCUGGAGCAUUUAUCAAUUUAUUCAAUCAUCAGUAUAUACAUAUAUUGAUUAAGGCACAUUUUGAUGAAAAAUUUACAUAAACCAAAAAUUAAUAAUAUAUAUCAAAUACCUGAAAUAAUAACUUUUUCUUUGCUCUAGCUUUACUUAAUGAUAUCGAUAUACCACGUUUUUUUCUUUUCAAGAACACCUUUAAAUCGACUAUAGAGUCCAUCAUUUUGGUUCUUUGAUCGUCCAAUAGGAUUUUUCCUUUUUAUUCCAUGUAUAUUAGGAACGUCCUCAUCUUCUUCUUCUUCCACGAGUUUAUCCUCUAAACUAUGGGGCAUCCAUUUAUCAGCUCUCACAAGUUCUUUUUUUUCCUCCAGUUUUUUAAGCAACACAAUCACAUCUUCAUCAGCACACAAUGUCAGUUCUAUAUGUUCAUCAGCUACAGAUGCAAUCUCACGGAAGUACGACAAAUAUGAAUAUAUCACUUUCCAAUCGACUGGUUCACUUCUUCAUUAGGUAUCUCUGAAUGAUAAUAAGAUAUGGUUCAUGCUUUUGCCUCUUUACUCCAUCGAUUCAAAAUGUAAGUAGGUGGAAUUCUUCUAACAUUCUUUUUGUUCAACACUUUCAAUGCAUGCAGGCAUAAGAACCCAUCAAAUGAAAACUUCAUGCAACUACAAUGUAUCGUUUGGUUUGCAGCAUCAUCCUUAACCAAAUGCUCUCGUGCCACACCACGGUAAGAUACAUUGUAUUCAUACACCAUCUCAUACUUACUGGUCUUUUUUGCAACAUAAUCACCAAUGACCGUGUAUUCUUUUUGGAACAAGGUAAACACUUCUGGGGUAUACACUUCUUCUGCAUGCUGCAACAUCUUUACAGAAGCAACUAAUACCGGCAAAGUAUGCAUCAUACCGAAGUCAGCAACUAAUUCUUUAUACCUCCUAUCAUCCAACGCUCUUUCAUAGUGUUUAAAGAAGGUCAACAAGUCAAAACUCCUCCUCAAGUAUCUUUUCAAAAUACUAUUCAUACUUUUGCUACGCUGUGUGCUCACCGAAUCGGCUGUAAGAGUAUGACGGCCAUAUACCAUUGCCCAUUUUUCUUUCACCUCAAACAAAUUCUUCAGCCAUUUAUUAUCUGUCAAUUUAUGCUUAUUAAGCGUAUCACUCCACGCCAAUAACCAGUCUUCUUCUUCCUCAUGGUCAUAUACACACUUUCCAAAAUCCAUGGCAAACUGGUCUGAUCUGAAAUACACGACUCAAAUUAUUUGCAGCAUUUUGGUAAAUAUGCCAAACACAUAACCUAUGUUUUGUUUCUAGAAAUACCUUCACUAUUGCAUUCGCCAUUGCUGCAGACUGGUCUGUAAGAAUUGUUUUUGGUUGUUUUCCAGACAUUGCUCCAAGAAAAGUCUCAAAAAGCCACUUAAAAGACUCAGUGGUUUCAUCAUAUAAGAGAGCAGCUCCGAACACAACAUUACUUGAGUGGUUGGUUUUGGACCUUUUGGUUACUUAUUUUAUUUUAUCUGUGAAGAAUUUUUAAUUUCAAUUGUGUGGACAUCGCACUGUACACGAGGAAUCACAUUUUUUUAUUUGUUUUUUUUUUCUUUUUCGAUGAUAUGUUAAUUCAAUUGUUUUGAACUUUUGAUGCAAUGAUGACAAUACUUCUUAUACGCUUCUUAUAUGCCAACCAAAUCUUAUGUUUCCUUCAACUUUUACAAGUUUAUAGAACUGCUUUUUUUAAUU